rnacentral:rRNA from 1 species
GACGAACGCUGGCGGCGUGCUUAACACAUGCAAGUCGAACGGAAAGGCCCUGCUUUUGUGGGGUGCUCGAGUGGCGAAGGGGUGAGUAACACGUGAGUAACCUGCCCUUGACUUUGGGAUAACUUCAGGAAACUGGGGCUAAUACCGGAUAGGAGCUCUUGCCGCAUGGUGGGGGUUGGAAAGUUUCGGCGGUUGGGGAUGGACUCGCGGCUUAUCAGCUUGUUGGUGGGGUAGUGGCUUACCAAGGCUUUGACGGGUAGCCGGCCUGAGAGGGUGACCGGCCACAUUGGGACUGAGAUACGGCCCAGACUCGUACGGGAGGCAGCAGUGGGGAAUAUUGCACAAUGGGCGGAAGCCUGAUGCAGAAACGCCGCGUGCGGGAUGACGGCCUUCGGGUUGUAAACCGCUUUCGCCUGUGACGAAGCGUGAGUGACGGUAAUGGGUAAAGAAGCACCGGCUAACUACGUG